UGCAAGUUCCUUAGAAAUAUGUCCUUCAAAAUGAUACAGAGAGGAUUAACAUGACUCCUGUGCAAUAAUGACAAUGUACAUAUCGAGAAACGAUAAUUUUUU